UACGAGCUGUGCAAACGUUAUUCGGAUUCACUGGGCUUAAAGGGUGCGUAGGCGGCCAUGUAAGUAGGGUGUGAAAUCCCCCGGCUUAACCGGGGAACUGCGCCCUAAACUGUAUGGCUGGAGUGAGAUAGGGGUGUGUGGAACUUCCGGUGGAGCGGUGAAAUGUGUUGAUAUCGGAAGGAACGCCGGUGGCGAAAGCGACACACUGGGUCUCAACUGACGCUGAGGCACGAAAGCCAGGGGAGCGAACGGG
rnacentral:rRNA from 1 species